AGUGAACGCUGGCGGUAGGCCUAGCACAUGCAAGUCGAACGGCAGCACAGUAAGAGCUUGCUCUUACGGGUGGCGAGUGGCGGACGGGUGAGGAAUACAUCGGAAUCUACUUUUUCGUGGGGGAUAACGUAGGGAAACUUACGCUAAUACCGCAUACGACCUACGGGUGAAAGCAGGGGAUCUUCGGACCUUGCGCGAUUGAAUGAGCCGAUGUUGGAUUAGCUAGUUGGCGGGGUAAAGGCCCACCAAGGCGACGAUCCGUAGCUGGUCUGAGAGGAUGAUCAGCCACACUGGAACUGAGACACGGUCCAGACUCCUACGGGAGGCAGCAGUGGGGAAUAUUGGACAGUGGGCGCAAGCCUGAUCCAGCCAUACCGCGUGGGUGAAGAAGGCCUUCGGGUUGUAAAGCCCUUUUGUUGGGAAAGAAAAGCAGCAGGUUAAUACCCCGCUGUUCUGACGGUACCCAAAGAAUAAGCACCGGCUAACUUCGU
rnacentral:rRNA from 1 species